UGGCUCUCCCCUGUUAAGGCCGCCUGUUUCUCUGCCUCCUCAUCUGUAGCCCCUGCAGGGGCCCGUCUAGACCAUGUAAGGGAGCACGCUGGCGUCUUCCAUCAGGUGCUCCCCUCCCCUCCCUGGUUUUUCAGACUGUAUUCUAAAAAAAAAAAAAACAAAAAAAAAAAACCCUAAAAUUACUCUGGGUUCCCAGCAGAGCUCAUUCCAUCUUCUUCGCAGCUUCUUGCACCUCUCACAGCCCGCAACUACACACACACCUAUCCUACACCUUUCAUAGAAUAGGCCUGCUUCCCUCCCUCCCAUGCUAGCUCCAGGACUUCCUCCUCCAGGAAGACUUCCAUGACUGACAUUUCUUCGCCCUGGUUAUCCUAAUAACAGCACUGGCUAACAUUUAUUGAGCUCUUCCCAUGUACCAGACAUUAUGCCAAACCCUUUGCAAACAUCAUCUAAGU
rnacentral:lncRNA from 1 species